rnacentral:lncRNA from 1 species
CUCCGAAUCGACUCUUCUUAAGUACCCAUUAAAUUAACUAAGCACACUAAAAGAUUUUACAUUAGUUUCUGAAAACAAAAGGACAUUGAGGCUCAGAUCUGUGUUCAAUUCAGGCAAGAGGGACGAUCACGCCAUGGCUGCAAAAUCACCGGUUGCGUGUGAGAGAAAAGGGGGAAAACCCAACCCACAUGCCAUCCGGGUUGCCCUGCCAAGAUACGAAUAGUCUCACUGCCCAAAUUCAUCAGCUCAGAGGAAUAAAGACAAUCAUCAUCACAGCCUCAUAAAACUUAGCCUACGUUUCACAGCCUCUUAAAACUUCAGAAAAAAAAAAAAAAAGCAGAGUUUUAUUAUAAUGGAUGUCAAACAGGGACUUAGCUUAUGUUUGCAAACUGUUUAUAAACGCUCAACAACUUUUGAGCUUCGCCGAACAAGUACCCAGUUUCGAUAGCCAGCAGAAGAAGCAGAAUAUGUAUCAGCAAGAAAGAACCAUAGAAAGAUCAACUGGAAUUCCCAGUCUUUGGUAUUUUUGUAAGUUGUGUAUCUAUAAUCCAUAGAUACACAUACAAAAUCAAGGGUUGUUGGUUUUGGGUUAAAAGAGGAAAUCAUUGGGUAAAAGGGAGGGGCAACCACCCUUGAGAAACUCCCAAUCCCCCUUACCCUCAUUCUUUCCAUCUGAGCUCCUGGCCCUGAUUUCAUCAGUCAAGCUUCUUAUUUAUAUUGCGUCCAAUCUCCUCUUUU